rnacentral:rRNA from 1 species
GUCCACGCUGUAAAACGAUGGGCACUAGGCGUCGGGGGGAGCGACCCUCCCGGUGCCGUCGCUAACGCAAUAAGUGCCCCGCCUGGGGAGUACGGCCGCAAGGUUGAAACUCAAAGGAAUUGACGGGGGCCCGCACAAGCGGUGGAGCAUGUGGUUUAAUUCGAUGCAACGCGAAGAACCUUACCUGGGCUUGACAUGUACGUGAAAGCCGGUGGAAACACCGGGCCUCCUUCGGGACGCGUACACAGGUGCUGCAUGGCUGUCGU